rnacentral:rRNA from 1 species
CGGACGGGUGAGUAACGCGUGGGUAACCUGCCUUAUACAGGGGGAUAACGGUCAGAAAUGGCUGCUAAUACCGCAUAAGCGCACAGAGCUGCAUGGCUCAGUGUGAAAAACUCCGGUGGUAUAAGAUGGACCCGCGUUGGAUUAGCUAGUUGGUGGGGUAACGGCCCACCAAGGCGACGAUCCAUAGCCGGCCUGAGAGGGUGACCGGCCACAUUGGGACUGAGACACGGCCCAA